UCUUGGCUAUGUAGCGAUGCUUAGCAAAAAGCAGAUACAGUUUCUUCCUCCUCCACGCCACAUAUCGGCAGGGGUUAUCAGCACGCAGGGUCACCUGUGGAGAAUAAAACAUUUAACAGAAAGAUGAGGCUGAAAGGAUGCAAGCUGGUUUCACAUGUGUAAGAGAGGCUGGUGAAAGAGUGCAGCCCAAUUUGAGGCGGUCAACGGUUGCCUCCAUUAUACGCAUCUUUCAACAAACCAACAGAGAGUUAUGGAAUUGGAGGCCAACCAGGCCCCUCAUGAAUUCAUACACAUAGAUGAGGCAGGAUUCAAUCUGGCCAAAAGGCGUCGACGUGGACGAAAUGUAAUUGGAAAAAGGGCCACAGUUGAUGUGCCAGGACAGAGAGGGGCAAACAUUACCAUGUGUGCAGCAAUUGCAAAUGCAGGAUUACUCCUUCACAGAUGUCAGGUUGGACCCUACAAUACCGAGCGCCUCCUUGCCUUUCUCAAUGAUCUCCACCAGCGCCUGGUUCCAGAGCAGGAUCAGGAGGGUUAAAACAUGAGGACCUUUGUAAUCACCUGGGACAAUGUGGCUUUCCAUCAUUCGCAAGCAAUAACAACAUGGUUUGAAGUCCACCCAAGACUGGUACGUCUCUUCCUUCCACCCUAUUCACCUUUCCUCAACCCCAUAGAGGAGUUCUUUUCUGCAAGGAGGUGGAAGGUUUAUGACCAUCAGCCACAUGACCAGAUGUCCCUCCUUGAAGCCAUGGCUGCUGGCUGCAGGGACAUCACAGUUGAUGAUUGCCAAGGGUGGAUCCGACAUACCAAGUGGCUUUAUCCCAGGUGCAUCGCCUUGGAUAAUAUCAGAUGCGAUGUUGAUGAAAACAUGUGGCCUAACCCUGAAGAUCGCAGAGAUUAGAUACAGUAAUUUUGUGCUUUUUUUUACUUCCCCCCCUUUUUAUCUGGGCUUUUUACUGUUGUUUUUUUGUUCAGAAUGCUCUUGUGUGUUUCAUGGAUAUUUUGUUCACUGUAAGCAAUACUGUAAAACUUUUUCUGUUCUAUCAUACUGUAAACAGUAUCUCUACUGUACCUCCAGUAAAGGAGUAAACAGUAAAGGAAAAAAAAACUGAUUUGCUUUUUACUGGAAUGCUUUUGAAUGUGAACAUGUGGACAUACAGUUCCCAACCAAGAAAUUUAGUGUAAAAACGGUGGAUUGCAUGUUUUGCAUGCAAAUACCUGUAAAACUGAAACAUAAAAGUCUAUGCAGUUUUUGUAAUGUCAACAAUAGCCAGUAUUUUGAAACCUGGUGUACUUUGAUUGACUGCAUGUACCUUGUGAAGUGAAAACAAGUGUUAUUCUUUGACAUAAUAAUUCAUUUAGAGUCAGAUUUCCAGUGUUUUGGUAAAGUUAGUGUGUGCAGAGAAAGAUGUGUUCUAUUUUGAAAUGAAAAGUUAGUAUAUGUUUAACAAAAUGUGUUUUUGAGAAGAAAAUUAUCCAUUUGGCCAAUUGUGUUUUGUAGGUGUGAGUCUGUGUUAAGAGUUUAGAAAAAGUAUCUGAAGUCUUGGUAAGCGCUUGUUAGCGAUUGAAAAAAACUGUAUUCAAUUGUUUGUUUAUUAUCAGCUGAGAUAUAUUGUUUUUGAACUGAUAUCAUCGCAGAAGCAGAGGUUUUUAUACUGUAUCUAAGGUUUGGAAUAUUGUUUUUGCUAUUGUGGGAUGUUGUGUGUUAACAUUCGUAAAUAAUAGAAAAACAAUCCAUAAUUUUGUUGGGAGGUAUAGCUUGUCUGUUAAGAAAAUGUAAGCAUUGUGGAAAUGUGUUCACUGACUGCAUAUUGUGUGAAAACGACAUGAAAUGUGUGAAUGGUAUGGCCACAAAAGGCCGAUGCUGUGCUAAUUGUGUUUAGAGUUUUGAAAAUGUGACAACUGGUUGGACAAACGCUUGUUAGCGACUGAAAAAAACUGUAAUACCAUGAAUGGAUAUAAAUCAAUGUUAUAAUGUGUCACUGAUCAGAUGUCUCUGAAUAUUGAAUGUCAGAUACACUUAAUAACUCAUGAAAAACCUUUAGUUGUUAUGGCUGUAAUUAUAAGUA